GGUUGUUCUGGGUGGUCUGGAGAUUUGUGCAGUCUUGGACCUGCACAAAUCUCUGGACCACUUAGCCUUUA
rnacentral:miRNA from 1 species